GACGAACGCUGGCGGCGUGCCUAAUACAUGCAAGUUGAGCGCUGAAGGUUGGUACUUGUACCAACUGGAUGAGCAGCGAACGGGUGAGUAACGCGUGGGGAAUCUGCCUUUGAGCGGGGGACAACAUUUGGAAACGAAUGCUAAUACCGCAUAAAAACUUUAAACACAAGUUUUAAGUUUGAAAGAUGCAAUUGCAUCACUCAAAGAUGAUCCCGCGUUGUAUUAGCUAGUUGGUGAGGUAAAGGCUCACCAAGGCGAUGAUACAUAGCCGACCUGAGAGGGUGAUCGGCCACAUUGGGACUGAGACACGGCCCAAACUCCUACGGGAGGCAGCAGUAGGGAAUCUUCGGCAAUGGACGAAAGUCUGACCGAGCAACGCCGCGUGAGUGAAGAAGGUUUUCGGAUCGUAAAACUCUGUUGGUAGAGAAGAACGUUGGUGACAGUGGAAAGCUCAUCAAGUGACGGUAACUACCCAGAAAGGGACGGCUAACUACGUG
rnacentral:rRNA from 1 species